GGACUACUGGGGUAUCUAAUCCCGUUUGCUCCCCACGCUUUCGCGCAUCAGCGUCAGAACCGGUCCAGCGAGCCGCCUUCGCCACUGGUGUUCCUCCCAAUAUCUACGCAUUUCACCGCUACACUGGGAAUUCCACUCGCCUCUCCCGGCCUCAAGCAAAGCAGUUUGGACGGCAGUUCCUCGGUUAAGCCGAGGGAUUUCACCAUCCACUUGCCAAGCCGCCUACGCGCCCUUUACGCCCAAUAAUUCCGAAUAACGCUUGCCCCCUCUGUAUUACCGCGGCUGCUGGCAC
rnacentral:rRNA from 1 species